AUCGAACGCUGGCGGCAGGCUUAACACAUGCAAGUCGAGCGAGCGGCGGACGGGUGAGUAAUGUAUGGGGAUCUGCCCGAUAGCGGGGGAUAACUACAGGAAACGGUAGCUAAUACCGCAUACCAUCAGGUGUGCCCAGAUGUGAUGAGCUAGUAGGUGGGGUGAUGGCGCACUUACGCGCCGAUCCCUAGCUGGUCUGAGAGGCUGACCAGCAACACUGGAACUGGGACACGGUCCAGACUCCUACGGGAGUCAGCGGUGGGGAAUAUGGCACAAUGGGCGAAAGCCUGAUGCAGCCAUGCCGCGUGUGUGAAGAAGGCCUUCAGGUUGUAAAGCACUUUCAGCGAGGAGGCGUUACUCGCAGAAGAAGCACCGGCUAACUCCGUGCCAGCCGCCGCGGUAAUAC
rnacentral:rRNA from 1 species